rnacentral:pre_miRNA from 1 species
UGGAUACUCCCUCCAUCCGAAAAUACUUGUCACCAAAAUGGAUAAAAAGGGGUGUAUCUAGAACUAAAAUAUGUCUAGAUACACCUCCUUUUAUCCAUUUUGAUGACAAGUAUUUUCGGACGGAGGGAGUACAAG